GAUGAACGCUGGCGGCGUGCCUAAUACAUGCAAGUCGAGCGACGCGUGGACGGGUGAGUAACACGUGGGUAACAUCCUAUAUGACUGGGGUAACUUCGGGAAACCGGAGCUUAAACGGAUUAUUAUAGCUGGAUCCGCGGUGUAUUAGCUAGUUGGUAAGGUAACGGCUUACCAAGGCAACGAUGCAUAGGCGACCUGAGAGGAUGAUCGGCCACACUGGAACUGAGACACGGUCCAGACUCCUACGGGAGGCAGCAGUAGGGAAUCUUGCGCAAUGGGCGAAAGCCUGACGGAGCAACGCCGCGUGAGUGAUGAAGGUCUUCGGAUCGUAAAGCUCUUUUAGUAGGGAAGCGGUACCCAAUCAGAAAGCAACGGCUAACUACGUGCCAGCAGCCGCGGUAAUAC
rnacentral:rRNA from 1 species